rnacentral:rRNA from 1 species
GGAGGGUGCGAGCGUUGUUCGGAAUUACUGGGCGUAAAGCGCGUGUAGGCGGCCUUGCAAGUCAGGCGUGAAAGCCCUCGGCUUAACCGGGGAAGUGCGUCUGAAACUGCUUGGCUUGAGUACGGGAGAGGGAGGCGGAAUUCCCAGUGUAGAGGUGAAAUUCGUAGAUAUUGGGAGGAACACCGGUGGCGAAAGCGGCCUCCUGGACCGAUACUGACGCUGAGACGCGAAAGCGUGGGGAGCAAACAGGAUUAGAUACCCUGGUAGUCCACGCGGUAAACGAUGGGCACUAGGUGGUGGGGGGUAUCCACUCCUCCCGUGCCGAAGCUAACGCAUUAAGUGCCCCGCCUGGGGAGUACGGCCGCAAGGUUA